GCCCGGGUGGUGGAAUGGUUUACACAGGAGACUUAAAAUCUCCCGGCCGCAAGGCCUUGUGGGUUCGAGUCCCGCCCCGGGCA
rnacentral:tRNA from 1 species